rnacentral:lncRNA from 1 species
UAGUUAUGACAUGAAUAAUUACAAGCACUUAUGCUUAAAAUUUGCUUAUAUCGUUAUCCGUUUUGUUGAUGACAAAGGGGGAGAAAUAUAUGAAUUGAUGCUAUGAACACUGAUGCUAUGCUUGCAUCAUCAAGAGAUAUAUGAAUUGAUAUGAUUGCCAUAUUUGCAAUGAUUGCAUCUUCAAGAGAUAUAUGAAUUGAUGCUAUGAUUGCCAAACUUGCAUUAUGCCAUGUUUGCAUCAUGCGUUAAGAUAUCAAGAGCUUGUAUCGUAAUUUUACGCGUUGAUAUCUUACCAUGUGAUGAAAUGCUACAAUUGAUAAACACUUGAAAUGUUUGCGUUAUGAUAUCAAAAGCUUACAUCAAAAUUUUACAUGUUGAUA